UGGGGAAUAUUGCACAAUGGGCGAAAGCCUGAUGCAGCAACGCCGCGUGAGUGAUGAAGGUCUUCGGAUUGUAAAGCUCUGUCUUUUGGGACGAUAAUGACGGUACCAAAGGAGGAAGCCACGGCUAACUACGUGCCAGCAGCCGCGGUAAUACGUAGGUGGCGAGCGUUGUCCGGAUUUACUGGGCGUAAAGGGUGCGUAGGCGGAUGUUUAAGUGAGAUGUGAAAUACCCGGGCUUAACUUGGGUGCUGCAUUUCAAACUGGAUAUCUAGAGUGCAGGAGAGGAGAAUGGAAUUCCUAGUGUAGCGGUGAAAUGCGUAGAGAUUAGGAAGAACACCAGUGGCGAAGGCGAUUCUCUGGACUGUAACUGACGCUGAGGCACGAAAGCGUGGGUAGCAAACAGGAUUA
rnacentral:rRNA from 1 species